rnacentral:misc_RNA from 1 species
AAGUCGUAACAAGGUUUCCGUAGGUGAACCUGCGGAAGGAUCAUUAACACGUAUCCACGUAUCAACCCCAUGUGCUCUUUUGGUCUCGUACCCUGCCAGUGCAGAGAAAGUUGGACAGAAUUGGUCGAAUGGUGAGGGGCGGAGAGUCAAAUCUUCGUCUCGUGACCGGUUCUGUCUGUGUGCUUUCUCGCCUUUUAUGCUGGUCAGGCUUGUGUUCUUUUCACCAUUGGAAUCAAACCUUUUUUUAACAUUAAACCCCUAGUACCAUUUGUUACUGAAUCAAUGUUUAAAUGAAUGUGAAAAAGUCUUUCAUUAGGCUUUUUUCCUCUUUGUUUAAAUAACGAUACGAAACGCUUGACAACUCUUAGCAACGGAUAUCUUGGCUCUC